rnacentral:other from 1 species
AACAACACAAGGAAAAUCGUUAUCAGGAAGAUGACGUGUAGGACUCCACUAGGGAAGGGUGGAACGUUAGUCAGGAUGACCAACGGGCAAGGAAUGCAAAGGACACCGCUAGGAAGGCGAAGAUAAGGAAAGCGCUUAAGGAUAAGCCAAUAUAUCAAGGAAUAGAUGCAGGGAGCACCUAAACGUAGCUGGAUUGCUGCAAGAAAGAAAAUGCCCUUAUAGUGAAAGCUGUAAGGGCUCUUUUUUUU